CAAAGAUAUCCAUGCUUUAAUUAGCAGUCAAGUGUCAAACUGUAAACAAAAUCCAGAGCGCACCAGCAAAAUUUCCAGUGUUCAAAUCGAAUAAAAAAUCCAUGCCCGCCAAUUUUGGUCCUCACACAACUUUGGGCACCUCGGACAGCAUGGAAUCCACGGAACCGCCGUACCCUACCAUAGAAAUCGUCCAACCAUCCCCACCCGUUUCCAGGGAAGCUCCGGAUCACCAUCAAAUUCUUCAGGAGAUGACCUUUCAUUCGAUUCAUUCACGGCUACUGGAGAUUGAUUGCAAAAUGAGUCGGCUGGAGUCGAAGUUCUACGAGGAUUUCGCUCGAUUGGAGUCCAGUGUGGCCAAGUGCCAACGAACGAUCGAGCUGGUCAACGAAUCGUUGGGUAUAAUGAACAAGAGUUCUGCUUCCGAAUCGUCUCCAAGAGAUAUGAUGGUAAAUUUGAGAUUCGGACAUAGGGAGCAGAGCCAGUUGUUUCAUACGAUCAGGCACGCAACAAAUCAAGCGGAAUCGACUUCCGUAUCGGAACAGGUCAUGAACAACCCUUGUACUUCCUAUCACAACAGAGUCAUUGAACGCAAACGAAGUGGACUUCUAACGCGAAUAAAAGAUCAAGUUAGAAGUGCUUUUAGCGUCCCUUGCGUUGUGACGCCCACUUUUGUAGUCUACCCAUCUUCUGCCCCAACAUCAGCUUCUACCAUGGGUGCCAUGGUGACUCAACACCAUCCGCAGUAGCCCAGUAGGCCAUUUUGACCCAUAAAUUUUCUGAAACCAUCAAAAUCUGAAGCAAAAUUUCAAGUUUCUCAAAAAUUUAAAAUCUGAAAACCUAAAAUCCCAAAAAAAUGUCUCUGGAACAAAUUUACUUCAAUGAAAACAUGAAACCUUCUCAAUCGGCCGUGCAAAUAACCGAAAUGGUUGGACCAAAAAAGAUUGUACCGCUGACGGAAGCACUACUUCACGAAAAGCAUUGCACUCUCUCUACGGAUGUUCAGGAACAGAUGAAAUCCUUCGAACAACGCUUGGCAGACGUCGAAGCAAAGGUGGAACGUUUGCACGAAAUUUGCGAAGAAUGCGCCCAAAGUGUCCAGGUGGAAUGCGGUUCGGAGUUGGCCAGUAUGGUGAGUUCAAUCGUGCCUUCCGAAGUCGAGGAAGCUCAGGAGCGUCAGAUUCUGAAGUAUAUAGUCAAGGAAGAAGGAGUCAAAGAUGUGGCCGUGGCGCCAACUGUAUCCCUGACGGAACUGUACGAUCGCAUGAAGGCCGAAGAAAGAGUCCGGGAAGCCAACUUUCGGCGCAUGCACCGUAACAAACAGUUUCGGGAUUUGCUGCUGAAUGGAGUGGCCGUGGACCCUAGCUGCUGUAAGCGAUUCCGAGAGGAACUUCCAACAAGCUGCUCAAGAGAUGCCCCAGAGGAAGAGAAGGUAUUCAAUAUCUGCAAAUUUAAAUGAGAAACGUUCACUUCUUACCACGGGACAAAUCCCAAAGAAUCUCGCACUGGCAAUAAACCCCAUUGAGUCCAAUCACCAA